CAUGUCUUUUUGAUAAUAAUUUAAGGUCAGGUCUGCUCAAUGAAAAUAAAUUGCCGCAGUAUUUUGACUGUGCAAAGGUAGCAAAAUAAUUAGUUUUUUAAUUGGAAACUUGAAUGAAUGAUUAGAUGAGAAAUUUUCUGUCUCUUUAUAAUUUAUUAUAGAAUUUAAUUUUUAAGUGAAAAAGCUUAGAUUUAAUUAAAAGACGAGAAGACCCUAUAGAGUUUGAUUUUGUAAAUUUUGUUUUUUUUUGGUAUUUAUUUAAUGAUUUAAAUUAAAAUUUUAUUGGGGAGUUAAGAAGAUUGAAUGAACUCUUUUAAGUCAAUCAUUGAUUUUUGAAUAUAAAGUCUUGUUUUUUGAAGUUUAAAUUAAAUUACCUUAGGGAUAACAGCGUAAUCUUUCUUAGAAGUUCUUAUUUUAAGGGGGGAUUGCGACCUCGAUGUUGGAUUAAAAUUAAUUUUUGGUGAAGGAGCUAAAAAAUUUAGUCUGUUCGACUAUUAAAAUUUUACAUGAUCUGAGU
rnacentral:rRNA from 1 species